rnacentral:rRNA from 1 species
UUAAAUUGAAGAGUUUGAUCAUGGCUCAGAUUGAACGCUGGCGGCAGGCCUAACACAUGCAAGUCGAACGGUAACAGGAAGCAGCUUGCUGCUUUGCUGACGAGUGGCGGACGGGUGAGUAAUGUCUGGGAAACUGCCUGAUGGAGGGGGAUAACUACUGGAAACGGUAGCUAAUACCGCAUAACGUCGCAAGACCAAAGAGGGGGACCUUMGGGCCUCUUGCCAUCGGAUGUGCCCAGAUGGGAUUAGCUAGUAGGUGGGGUAACGGCUCACCUAGGCGACGAUCCCUAGCUGGUCUGAGAGGAUGACCAGCCACACUGGAACUGAGACACGGUCCAGACUCCUACGGGAGGCAGCAGUGGGGAAUAUUGCACAAUGGGCGCAAGCCUGAUGCAGCCAUGCCGCGUGUAUGAAGAAGGCCUUCGGGUUGUAAAGUACUUUCAGCGGGGAGGAAGGGAGUAAAGUUAAUACCUUUGCUCAUUGACGUUACCCGCAGAAGAAGCACCGGCUAACUCCGUGCCAGCAGCCGCGGUAAUACGGAGGGUGCAAGCGUUAAUCGGAAUUACUGGGCGUAAAGCGCACGCAGGCGGUUUGUUAAGUCAGAUGUGAAAUCCCCGGGCUCAACCUGGGAACUGCAUCUGAUACUGGCAAGCUUGAGUCUCGUAGAGGGGGGUAGAAUUCCAGGUGUAGCGGUGAAAUGCGUAGAGAUCUGGAGGAAUACCGGUGGCGAAGGCGGCCCCCUGGACGAAGACUGACGCUCAGGUGCGAAAGCGUGGGGAGCAAACAGGAUUAGAUACCCUGGUAGUCCACGCCGUAAACGAUGUCGACUUGGAGGUUGUGCCCUUGAGGCGUGGCUUCCGGAGCUAACGCGUUAAGUCGACCGCCUGGGGAGUACGGCCGCAAGGUUAAAACUCAAAUGAAUUGACGGGGGCCCGCACAAGCGGUGGAGCAUGUGGUUUAAUUCGAUGCAACGCGAAGAACCUUACCUGGUCUUGACAUCCACGGAAGUUUUCAGAGAUGAGAAUGUGCCUUCGGGAACCGUGAGACAGGUGCUGCAUGGCUGUCGUCAGCUCGUGUUGUGAAAUGUUGGGUUAAGUCCCGCAACGAGCGCAACCCUUAUCCUUUGUUGCCAGCGGUCCGGCCGGGAACUCAAAGGAGACUGCCAGUGAUAAACUGGAGGAAGGUGGGGAUGACGUCAAGUCAUCAUGGCCCUUACGACCAGGGCUACACACGUGCUACAAUGGCGCAUACAAAGAGAAGCGACCUCGCGAGAGCAAGCGGACCUCAUAAAGUGCGUCGUAGUCCGGAUUGGAGUCUGCAACUCGACUCCAUGAAGUCGGAAUCGCUAGUAAUCGUGGAUCAGAAUGCCACGGUGAAUACGUUCCCGGGCCUUGUACACACCGCCCGUCACACCAUGGGAGUGGGUUGCAAAAGAAGUAGGUAGCUUAACCUUCGGGAGGGCGCUUACCACUUUGUGAUUCAUGACUGGGGUGAAGUCGUAACAAGGUAACCGUAGGGGAACCUGCGGUUGGAUCACCUCCUUACCUUAAAGAAGC